rnacentral:rRNA from 1 species
GGCUGAAAUUCGCCUUCAUGAAGCCGGAAUUGCUAGUAAUGGCAGGUCAGCAUACUGCCGUGAAUACGUUCCCGGGCCUUGUACACACCGCCCGUCACACCAUGAGAGUUGGGAAUACCCGAAGCCUGUGAGCUAACGUUAAGAGGCAGCAGUCGAAGGUAGAAUCAAUGAUUGGGGGUGAAGUCGUAACAAGGUAAC